GAAUGCAAGUGAUGGUUCAUUCAAGCUCUCAGGAUACAUUUCAGGUCCUGAUGUUUACACAGUGAAAGGUAUACAGGACCAAAUUGAUGGAUAAGAGAUGUGGUGUCUGUUGCUAUAGGGAUUGGAACUUGCUAUGUUAAGGUGGAUGACAAUGGAUUGGCCCGUCCUUCUCUUUAUUGAGGAUACUGUCGCGAAUCUCUGGACUGGAAGUAACUCUGUCGAGGAUGAUUUCCUGUUAAACAUGAAGCUGUUGUCACGUAUAAGGAAACAUGGAACAUAAUGUCUUGGUACCUGCCAUAAAUAAUUUGGAAAAAGAGGACUGCAAAGUUUGAUCUCAAUUUUUAUGCUCUUUCUAGAGAGGAUAUGGCCAGUGUAGGGGGAUUUGUGUUCAGGUCCUUCUGAAUUCUACUAUGAUGGAGAUGAUUUGACACAUAUGCAUUCUCAUGGUGAAGAGAAUAUUAAGAAUUAUUUGAUACCACGAGCUAUGCUCUCCUCUAGGGUGGAUGGGGACUCACAUAAAUGGAUUGACACUAGAAAUUGAGGUAAAACAGAUGAGCUUAUACGGAAAAAGAUGAGUAGAAGAAGUCAUUGCUCCUCCAUUAUACCAAGGCAAGAAGAAGUUCUUUGCCACGAGUGAGUCUUCAAGCAAGGCAGCAGGAAAUAGCAAUAUUAAGACUCUUCAUGAUCUGCCACUCAUGCCAGUCUUACCAUCAAGGUGAUCAAUCUUUUAUCCCAAGUUGUGGUGAUGGUGUAUUCUCCGAUGAAAGGCAAAGUGUGAAGAUGAAACUUGAUAACAUCUGGAAUAACAAAUUACAAACUCAAGGGGAGUGCUCUAGGACACGUGAUGGGGAGUGAAAAGAAGAAUUUGCACCGUCAAAAACUCAAAAUUUCUUAUAUUCUGGGAGAAAAUGGAGGGACUUCUGUCCAGAGAUUACAAUUGAGUACCUUAGCUAUAUCCCCGUUGUUUUUGGGACUUCUUCUCUAUUUUGUUGAGACGAUGAACUUUUACCUUUUCCAAUAUGAGAUGUAGAGUGGUACUGGAACAGAGAAUCUUAAGAAUGUCACUUCUGGUGCCUUGCAUUUUGUUGGUGAUUCAUUGGUUCCUGAUACCAUAGAUUAAAACUGGCGGGAGAGUGCCAAAGUUCUCCAACAGGUUGAUAUGAAGUUUAUUCCGAUUGUGGCGAACACAACACUUGCUAUAAUUGAUCAGAUGAGCGAAUUCGUUUAGAAGAACUGCGUGAGAAGGUAAUGGUUGUCUAAAACCUCAUUGAUGUGUCGUUUCAACGUGGAGUUUGUAGCUUAGUGAAUUAUCAGGUUCUAUCUGGACAAAAGAGGACAAUAACCUGUCUUGAUUCCGAGCAAGAAUUGGUACGUUUAUGGUCAUCUAAUGUGAAAUAGAUUUGCCUUGUGCUGCUUGGUUUGUGGGGAAGAGUUGAAACUCUUUAUAAUAGGAAACAUUGAUUUUUGAGUCUUUGACCAUACUAUGCUGACCAAAUUCAAAACUGGGGUUGGAACUUGGAUCUGCAACAUUCAUUCUCAAGCUUCAAAAUCAUUUACCUGGUAAGUUACGGAUCUUUGUUUAGAUUUUCAUCACAACCAGAGUAUGGAACUUGGUAAAAUUGCCAUUUACCUGAAAUUCUAUUCCACUAAAUUUUGCAACAUUCAUUGAAGUUGAACCUAACUCUAGCAUGAAGUUAUAUGUUUUGGUUAAAGCGGGAACAUAAAUCUGAUUCACAAGCAGCCAACUUCUGUCACACUUGUUGCGGUAACAUUCUCUAAUACUUGUCUCUGUCAUAUUAUACAUUCAAAAAGGUAAGUACAUGUAAACCAUUUUCAAAUCAGUCUUAUAAGGGUAAGGUAAUAUAGUACUAAUUGUAGUUGGUAAUACAGGAUUAUGAAGUGACAUCAACUAAUAGGAAAUAAGAAUUGAGAUUAGGAAUUAUUGGGAAUAAGGCUACACUGUAUAGUAAAUACACAAGGGCUGGGAGAGAUUGCUCGCCUACAUUCUUGAACCUUUUAUUACACUUUAGAGCUUAUUCUCUUUAGCGAUCAUGUUCCUCCCUCUGAAGGAUAUAUGUCUUCCUUAGUCUGGAAAAUAAAGCAUGACAAGCACUUCUUCUCAGUCUAGUUAUUCCAUUCUGAGGUGUCAAUACCGCAGUUUAUAUCAGCUCUGUGCUCCAUCUUGUUGAAAGCAAGAAGGAUUUUUGAGGGUUUAAGGCUUUCAAGUGUCAUUUGUGCACAUUGUCUCUUAAGGUCCAUUUUAUUUUUAAUUGGGUUGAUUAUAGCGAGUGAAUUUGAAUUGUUACUUCUAAGGGAAUUUUUUUUGUUCUAAUACCAUCAAUUACAAUGGAUGGAUGGAUGGAAUAUAUUUGUUUUUGAUCACUACUGUUUGCAGCGGUGUCUUGAUUAUUUAUUCUAGCUGAAGUUGAGUUGGAACAUACACAUCGGUGCUUAGUUACUUUAAGCCCAACUUAUGGAUACAGUAUAUCAGCUUAUGGAGACAGUAUAUAUGUCUGUUUCUUUCAUCUUCUGUCGUGCUUCCUUUCUUCUGGCCAUUUUAACUUUGGUUUGCUAUGCUUCCUUUACUGCAGCGACAUCAAAAUACCGCCAUUCAGACGAUAUGCAUGCUUUCCCAGCAAGCUUUGGCUUCAAAGGAGAGGCUCUGAGCUAUAUUUCUGACGUU